rnacentral:rRNA from 1 species
UACUAUGUUACGACUUAUCACUGGAUAGCCGAAUCCUAGUUUACGAUGUGUACAUAUUAUAGAGCCAAAAUCACAAUGACAAUCUUUACAAUAUUACUAUUAAAUCCACUUUAAUAUUUAAUUAUACAAUAAAUAAACCAAUAAUAGAAUAAAAUGUAAUCCAUCUCCACUAACUAAUAAGCUGCACCUUGACCUGAAAUAAUAUUUAAACAAAAAUAUAGAAAAUACCUACCCCUCAAAGGAUAUUCAGAUUAACGGCGGUAUACAAACAAUAAAUUAGUAAGGUUCAACGCGGACUAUCGAUCAAGGGACAGAUUCCUCUAAAAGGACUAUAAUACCGCCAAAUUCUUUAAGUUUCAAGUCCAUAACUAUUACUACUCAAGUAAAAAAUUAACAUCCAAAAUAAUAGGGUAUCUAAUCCUAGUUU